rnacentral:rRNA from 1 species
AUUGAACGCUGGCGGCAUGCUUUACACAUGCAAGUCGAACGGCAGCACGGGAGCGAUCCUGGUGGCGAGUGGCGAACGGGUGAGUAAUGUAUCGGAACAUGCCCAGUCGUGGGGGAUAACGCAGCGAAAGUUGUGCUAAUACCGCAUACGAUCUAUGGAUGAAAGCGGGGGAUCGCAAGACCUCGCGCGAUUGGAGUGGCCGAUAUCAGAUUAGGUAGUUGGUGGGGUAAAGGCCCACCAAGCCGACGAUCUGUAGCUGGUCUGAGAGGACGGCCAGCCACACUGGGACUGAGACACGGCCCAGACUCCUACGGGAGGCAGCAGUGGGGAAUUUUGGACAAUGGGCGCAAGCCUGAUCCAGCAAUGCCGCGUGCAGGAUGAAGGCCUUCGGGUUGUAAACUGCUUUUGUAUGGAACGAAAAGACUCUCUCUAAUAAAGGGGGUUGAUGACGGUACCAUGAGAAUAAGCACCGGCUAACUACGUGCCAGCAGCCGCCGCUG